UACGUAGGGGGCUAGCGUUGUCCGGAAUCAUUGGGCGUAAAGAGCGUGUAGGCGGCCCGGUAAGUCCGCUGUAAAAGUCAAAGGCUCAACCUUUGAAUGUCAGUGGAUACUGCCGGGCUAGAGUCCGGAAGAGGCGAGUGGAAUUCCUGGUGUAGCGGUGAAAUGCGCAGAUAUCAGGAGGAACACCGGUGGCGAAGGCGGGUCUCUGGGCCGAUACUGACGCUGAGGAGCGAAAGCGUGGGGAGCGAACAGG
rnacentral:rRNA from 1 species